AGAAACCUCCUGCGAACGGCUACAGAGGAAAUUUUCAUGUGUGAGAGAUCUGCAGAAAGUUCUGGAACCCGCACCUGGACCAGUUUGGACCCUCAGUGGAAACACGUCAAAGAGAAGGAAAACCAGCUGGGGAAGGGAUCCCGGCCAGCAGCAGCUCAGAUCUGGGAGAAAGAGGCACAGGCGAGGCAGUGCCUGAGCAAUGGAAACCGACGGGCAGGAGGCGGGAAGGGGCUGCGCCACGGGCCUCCCAGGGUCCCCACACCACUGCACACCUAGGACUGAGGGAUGGUCAGUGGGAGUCAAGGGCUGCCCCGGAAGGGAGCCGGUUUUCAGGCAGCUUCCAAGCUGAAGGGCAGAAGCCACCAGGACCUGGCCCAGCGCUCUGGUCCAGGGUCAUGUCACACCUCCGACCAGGGAUUGGAGGCUGCAAAUUGGAGGCACCACUGGCCAAGUGCUCUCGAGUUCUCCACUGGUCAGGUGGGCCGCAGGGGCCUCGGGGGAGCGCCUUGGCACUGUGAGAGGUGAUCAUGCAGGUUCAGGCACAGCCGCCCUGGGGGUCGUCCUCCGUGGGCACCUUAGGGCAGGUGUCCGUAUCCCAGGAACCCUCGCCCCAAGACCCACGGCUAACCCACAGCAGAGUUGCGCUCCAGGCGUGUUUACCUGCAGCCACACACCUCCCCACCCGGCUCCCUGCCCUGCAGAGACGGCCUCCCACUGCUCCCCAGCGGAGCCCUGAGCCUGCCUGUGCCCUGGGCCUGCCAGCACCACCAGGGCCCACCACAGAGGCACAGGAAGCCUGGGUUUGCUCCUGAAUUGCCGUGACUGCCACCUCCUCCACCUGAGAAGGUGUCACUAUGUCACUGUGGACGGCGGACCGGGCACUGCGGGAGGUGGGGUGGCCUGCCAGGGUCCCGACACGAGGCCUCCUUAAGCCCUACCCUCCCCCCAGCACCAGCGCCCGGGACCCUCUGCAGGGACUGUUUCCACCAGGGCCCUGCACCACUGCUCAGCACCCUGGCCCAGCUCUGUCUGCAGGACCUGCUGGCAGGACAGGCCCCUGUCUGUGCAUCGGAAUUCACUGGGAGGCAGCUGCUCCUACAGCCUCAGAUUCCAAAUCCAAAUGCCCAACAGGAGGGCCCUGGGCGAGAAGCUGAGUGCGUCUGGCCUCUGCCCCCAGGACGCUGCAGAACCCUGCUCCGAGAGGGUCUUAAACUGGCCGGUAAGGGCUUCAGCUCAGAACCACGGAGUCUGCAGGACGAAACUGCCUCCACCCGAGUGCUGGGCGGAGGCCCCGUUUUUCACCGACCGACGGCUGGGAGAGCCGUGCCACCCACUGUGCCCUGAGACGCGCACAGGACGGCGACUCACAGAUGCCUUUUGCUGCCCUGCCUGGGUCCUGCCACAGCGCGAGGUGCAUCAGGCCAGGCAGCCACGCAAAGGCCCCCGCUCCUGGCUUCUGCCAUUUUUCUGUCCUGCAACUCUACCCUGGAGCCUCCCACCCCUUCAAAAGCUGCAGGAAGAGGCCUGCAGGCAAGAGAAGAGGACUGCAGGAGUGAGCAAUUUAAGAAACGGAAGGUCGAGGUUUUCCAAUCUAAUUAACAGCAUGACAAGCCAGGAUGGGCUGCUGACCCGCAUGGAGCCUUGCACAGCCAGAAACGCGGUGUCCUGCUCCGCUCCUGAGACGCCAGGGCCGUCACUGCAACACAGCCCCAACACUUCCACACGGGCGGACUCUGGCUCUCCAGGCACUGCAGCGCCCUCUCCUCCCCUUCCCAGCUCUCCUGAGGCCUGUGGUUCUGGAUCUCUGCUCCGUGCAAGCAUGCCUGUGGCCCCCUCCCGUGUCCAGUCGCACCAGGCCCUGGGAUCCCGGAUCUGGCUUCCCCUUUGCAAGUGGUUCAAAGCAAGCACCUGUGGGGGUGGGGGCAGCAAAGCCGUCUGGCCAAGGUCCCUUCCUCUAGAGUGCCUGUCUGUCCGUCUGUCCUUGAGGAGCCUGAGGAGUGCAGGGCAGGACAGGCAGGCACCAGCUGACCCGGUACUGGGCAGGGACCAGUGCAGGACCUUGAGGCAGGGCUUGGUGGGGUGGGGGUGGCCAGAGUCUCCUGGCUCGGAGCAGAUGCGGGUGAGUGGCACAGACUGUCCUCACACCCUCCUGGGACAAAGGCAGGAAUCCAUGACCAGGACAGACACACUCAGGAUGGGAGAGGCAGAGCAGGUGCCUGAGCUUGGCCACGCACAGCUUCCAACGAGGCUGGGCCGUCCACAGCUCCCCAAGGUUACCCGCCACUGUUCACCCCACCCCAGCACAGCCGAGAGCCGUGGUUUCUCCUCCCAUGGAGUCCCACGUGGGCUGCCCACUCCAGGCCCAGCCCGAGGGCACCGCCUUCUCCAGGCUGCCUUCCCCGCACACGCCACACCUCCAGCCCCAGAAGGUUCUGAGGAGGGGAGGAGCUGGGGCCCCCACUCGCCCUCCUGUUGCCAGGAUACAGGCCCAGGAAAAAAUGCCACAGUGCUGGAUUAAUGUCUAGACAACGUGACCUUUCCCCUGGUUCUCUAGAUAUAAUUGGGACCCAAAUUGUCCGGUGUCAUGAGCUGACAGCAGGGAUGAAGGAGGGGUCUGUUCUCGGUGCCCGAGGGGACUCCGGGAGAGGGAGAGGGCAGCCCACUACCUGUGUGGGGGCUGCAUGGGGACGAGCCAGGGUCGCCCACAAAGGCGCUUUCUGUGGAGGGGACGUCACCUCUUCCAUCAGCGAUGACACAGCUCUGAGAUCACAGUGUCCUCACAAUGGCUCCUGUUAACUCCCUGCUGCCCGUCCUGCCAGGCUGGUGCCAUGAGACCCUCGGGGCUGGGCCAUGGGACAGGUGCCUGCCCAGCCCUGCAAACACAUCCAGCAGGUGUUGAGGGCUGCCAAGCACAGACUCCUACUGCCAGCCAUGCACAGCGCCAGCUGCGACAGCAACGCCUCUGCCGGGAGACGCGGAGGAGACCGGCCCCGACGCCUCCUGUCCCGGGGGGCUGCUGCACACUCAGGCAGGAUGCAGGGGUCCUGAGGGGGACCCUCAGCCACCUACGGCUCCCGUGGCCAGUCUGGUCCUGGUAUUUAUCUCAACUUCAUUGUUGUCCAGAAGCUGCUUUUUAUUAUUUGUGACCAUAAAAGGAUGUAAAUAAAUUCCUGUUUUGAGUCCAAACUACCUGGGUCCACCAGGCCACAGAGCAGGGACACGGCCUCAAUGUGGAGUCAAUAAGCCAAGGUUGUGAGAAGAUUCUCAGGAGUGGGGUCCAGGAAGGGAGAACUGAGGGCUGGGGUUUCAGGGGGCAUUUUACUUUUCAUUCCAGGCAGCGCUGUAUUGGCUGGGGUCUCAAAUGCUGAAUAAUGCUCCUGUUGGACUUCAGUAAUUUAAAAAAAUAAAACUGUUUAAAAAUC
rnacentral:antisense_RNA from 1 species